CCUACGGGUGGCAGCAGUGGGGAAUAUUGGGCAAUGGGCGCAAGCCUGACCCAGCAACGCCGCGUGAAGGAAGAAGGCUUUCGGGUUGUAAACUUCUUUUCUGAGGGACGAAGAAAGUGACGGUAACUCAGGAAUAAGCCACGGCUAACUAAGUGCCAGCAGCCGCGGUAAUACGUAGGUGGCAAGCGUUAUCCGGUUUUAUUGGGUGUAAAGGGCGUGGAGGGGGGAAAGCAAGUCAGAUGUGAAAGCUCAGGGCUCAAACCUCAGCCGGCAUUUGAAACUGUGUUUCUUGAGUGCUGGAGAGGCAAUUGGAAUUCCGUGUGUAGCGGUGAAAUGCGUAGAUAUACGGAGGAACACCAGUGGCGAAGGCGGAUUGCUGGACAGUAACUGACGCUGAGGCUCGAAAGCGUGGGGAGCAAACAGGAUUAGAUACCCGAGUAGUC
rnacentral:rRNA from 1 species